rnacentral:rRNA from 1 species
CCUACGGGAGGCAGCAGUGGGGAAUAUUGCACAAUGGGGGAAACCCUGAUGCAGCGACGCCGCGUGAAGGAAGAAGUAUUUCGGUAUGUAAACCUCUAUCAGCAGGGAAGAAAAUGACGGUACCUGACUAAGAAGCCCCGGCUAACUACGUGCCAGCAGCCGCGGUAAUACGUAGGGGGCAAGCGUUAUCCGGAUUUACUGGGUGUAAAGGGAGCGUAGGCGGUUUAGCAAGUCAGAAGUGAAAGCCCGGGGCUCAACUCCGGGACUGCUUUUGAAACUGUUGAACUAGAGUGCAGGAGAGGUAAGUGGAAUUCCUAGUGUAGCGGUGAAAUGCGUAGAUAUUAGGAGGAACACCAGUGGCGAAGGCGGCUUACUGGACUGUAAAUGACGCUGAGGCUCGAAAGCGUGGGGAGCAAACAGGAUUAGAUACCCGAGUAGUC